rnacentral:RNase_P_RNA from 1 species
GCAGCAGGACGGUUUGUCGCUCGACCACGAAAGGUCGGGAGGAAAGUCCGGGCAACGCAGAGCACCAUAUUUCCUAACGGGAAGCUGUUCGCGAGGGCAGAGUAACGUAACAGAAAAUAACCGUCGUCCGCAAGGAUUGAUAAGGGUGAAAAGGCGAGGUAAAAGCUCACCGGGUCACAUAGCAAUAUGAGAUGCCGUACGUCUUAUGGGUUGUAAGGUCAUGUAUAUCGGCGCAAGUAGGAUUGCUCGUCCGAUGCCGAGGGGUAGACCGCUAGAGCUUGUCGGUGACGGCAAGUCGAGAUAAAUGACAGACACUUGGCUCCUCCGUGGGCGAAGAACAGAACCCGGCUUACAGGCCUGCUGCUUUU